UCUCUUCCCACGAUCUCCUUUCUUAUCCACUGAAAAUUUGCUCCCAAAUCGUCUCUAUCAUCAAAACUAGAGUUUUUUAAUCGAUAUAGUCUUUUCAAAGGCGAUGAAGAGGAAAUCAUCAUCAUCAUCAUCUGUGAAAAAAGAGUUGAUGUCUUUAGUUUUAACGAAGAUGAUGCACAAAUUUAACUUCUUUCUAAAUCAAAUACUAAGAAAUUCCAAAAUGGAUCCAGUCUUUUAAGAUCUUCUCAAUUGUUUCAAUCAUUGAUAUAGAUGGAGCAGUCACUUGGCAGUUGUUGAGUUAGUUUGAGUGCAUUUGCAUUCUUGUUUUCGGAGCUAGUACAAUAUAAUCAGACUCAAGUCGAUAACAUUGUCGAGUUAUAACGAAGGCUAGAUAAUGCGUGGUAUGCUGUUGGAGCAAGAAUUCAUGGACUUCUUUUCCACAGAGAUAAAGUGGAUGAAUUGGAUAAGGCGAUUGUUCUGGCAGCUAGAGACCCUUCCUGGUAUUGCAUUGAUGAAGUAGGGCUUGAGAAACGUAGACGAUGGAACUGCUCGCACUCCGGUAUAUCACAAGAAUCCCUUCCUGGUCUCGGAAACAGCUUGUGUGGUGCUAGAUGGACGAUUCGAGUUGUAUGCGGUGUGCAAACUGGUGCACUUUGUCUUUGGAUUUUUAUAGAUGUGUACAUGUUUGUACACCAGUGUAAACUAAGAUUAAAAAAAAUGAGAAUUAUAUAGUCAUAUCGGUACUCAUUUUGUAGCUGUCGGAAAGAGCUUUCCGAAUAUAUAAAGUUUGUGAAUUUUGGACGAACUGUUCGAAAGAUAAAUUGUUUUUAAUUUUUUUUUUAUAUUAUUUAAAAUUAUUGACA